GGGUGUAAAGCGUGCGCAGGCGGCUUUGCAAGACAGAUGUGAAAUCCCCGGGCUCAACCUGGGAACUGCAUUUGUGACUGCAAGGCUGGAGUGCGGCAGAGGGGGAUGGAAUUCCGCGUGUAGCAGUGAAAUGCGUAGAUAUGCGGAGGAACACCGAUGGCGAAGGCAAUCCCCUGGGCCUGCACUGACGCUCAUGCACGAAAGCGUGGGGAGCAAACAGGAUUAGAUACCCUGGUAGUCCACGCCCUAAACGAUGUCAACUGGUUGUUGGACGGCUUGCUGUUCAGUAACGAAGCUAACGCGUGAAGUUGACCGCCUGGGGAGUACGGCCGCAAGGUUGAAACU
rnacentral:rRNA from 1 species